CUGCAGGGGAAAGGACUCAGGUCCUGGCAGGGGGAAGGACACAGGUCCUGGCAGGGGGAUUAGCCGGGUCCUGGCAGCUCCUCGGAGCCCCCUCCCGUGUCCCCCCCCUCUCCGGUCCCGGCGGCUCCGUGAGCGCUCCGUGCUCCGCGCUGGGCUCGCAGGGGUUAACGCUGCUCCACAGGGCUCCGAGGGACCCGAACCGGGCGGAGGCUGCGGGAGAGGAGAAAAAAGAGCGGCGUGAGCCGGGCCCGGAGCUGCGGGACCGCGGGGAUGGAGCGGCGGGGAUGGAGCAGCUCCGUGAGGGAACCGCGGGGAUGGAGCAGCGGGGAUGGAGCAGCUCCGUGCUGCAGGGGUGGUGAUAGAGCAACUCCGUGCUGGAGAAGCAUGGAUGGAGCAACUCUGUGCUGGAGAAGCGGGAAUGGAGCAGCAGGAAGGGAGCAGCUCCGUGCGGGAGAUGCAGGGAUGGAGCAUCUCCGUGCUGGAGAAGCGGAAUUGGAGCAGCUCCGUGUGGGAGAAGCAGGGAUAGAGCAGCAGGGAUGGAGCAGCUCCGUGCGGGAGAAGCCGGCAUGGAGCAGCUCCGAGCUCCAUGCGGGAGAUG
rnacentral:lncRNA from 1 species